AAAAGUUCUUAAAUAGAAAAUAAAACUAUUUAAAAAAUUCAACUUAUUAUAUAUGAAAACAUAGCAACGGAAUAGUUUUCAAAAUCCAUAACUUCAUGAACCUCCAACAAUAGUCUAUGGCAUUAAAGGCCUUAACAUAAUUCAACAUCAUAGUUCAAAGACAACAAAAGGGCUCCACACCACAAGUUCCAAAAUUUGAUACAUGGAAAGGAAAGCAACAAUAAUAAAAAUGAUAAAUCCCAUCCCACGUAUCAGAGCCCUAGACACGACUUUGAGCCACCACCUACUACUCA
rnacentral:lncRNA from 1 species